AGAGAGAACCACGUAAAAGGCUGGGAAAAAUCAUUUUAAACACCCAAACCCUUAUUUUCCCCCAAAUUCAAAUUCUCCAAAAUCUCUCUUACCAAAUCGGAACUUAUGGAACUCUUGGUAGAAUUGCCCCAAGCAUAGUUGAUGUUGGCCGAGCUGGCCGGUCGGGGAGCAACAUCGACGGGCCGCUAGAUGGCAUAAUUUUGUGGAUGCUGGUCGAGCUGGGAGCUGAGGAGGCUAUUGAUAUGGUGAACGGCAGCAGCAUGAGAAGAAGGGAAUGAUGGUAAAGAUUAAGGAUAAGCUACUUGGUGGUCGCUAGAUGACAUAAUUAAGUCUGUCUGUGUGUGUUCCAAAAUCAUGUUUUAUGCUAUGCUUAAUCUGGAUGGAUGCGAUAUUUUUGCUGAAUAUGAGAUACCAAGACCUCCUCCAUCUUUGAAUAAUGCACCUACAUACAACCAAAGCUGAUUGGAAGAAAGGUCCAAUGGUCGAAAUAUGCCAUUGUUUUGAUCAAAUAGAGCAUUUAAAUAACAAUUGAUGUGUGGUGCUUUUAAGUAUCAAAUAGAGCUAAUUGGAAGAUGGUCUGGUGUUGCUGUUGGUUGGAUUUUUAAUUUCUUAUUGUGAGUGGUGCAUUUUAGUUGUUGGGUUUUUUUGCCAAGAAACUCAAAAUCUCAUUCAUGAUCAAUUAACACUCCAUCUAGCGGGGUGGAACCACGGGUGGUCAGUGACAAAAGAUCAAGCUGGUUUUUCAGGAAAAAUCCAC
rnacentral:lncRNA from 1 species